CACGUAGGGUGCGAGCGUUGUCCGGAAUUAUUGGGCGUAAAGAGCUCGUAGGCGGUGUGUCGCGUCGGCCGUGAAAACCUGCAGCUUAACUGUGGGCGUGCGGUCGAUACGGGCAUCACUGGAGUUCGGCAGGGGAGACUGGAAUUCCUGGUGUAGCGGUGAAAUGCGCAGAUAUCAGGAGGAACACCGGUGGCGAAGGCGCCACUCUGGGCCGGUACUGACGCUGAGGAGCGAAAGCGUGGGUAGCAAACAGG
rnacentral:rRNA from 1 species